CGCACGGGUGAGUAACACGUGAAUUAUCUACCUCCGAGUGGGGAAUAACUGAGAGAAAUCUUAGCUAAUACCGCAUAACACUUACGAGUCAAAGCAGCAAUGCGCUUGGAGAGGAGUUCGCGGCCGAUUAGUUAGUUGGCGGGGUAAUGGCCCACCAAGACGAUGAUCGGUAUCCGGCCUGAGAGGGCGCACGGACACACUGGAACUGAAACACGGGCCAG
rnacentral:rRNA from 1 species